GACCUCAUACCAUGCAGUCUAUACCAGAGACUAGCUUUAGAAACUUCCUUUGGAAUUUUAAGACCAUUAUCUCUAGAUGCUGAAUAUUGAGAAUUUACUAGUAAAUUUAGUGCUUCUAGGACUUAGUGGGGAGGGAUAAGGAAAAAAAUAAGUAGAUUAUUGGGGAUAGUGAAUGAUAAAUCUAUUACUACCGAGAUUUGAGUUAUCUUUUCGAUUCACAGAGUACUCAGGGAGUCUCUCAGGUUGCUCCUGCAGAGCCAGUUGCAGUAGCACAGCCACAACCUACCCAGCCGACCACUUUGGCUUCCUCUGUAGACAGUGCACAUUCAGAUGUUGCUUCAGGUAUGAGUGAUGGCAAUGAGAAUGUCCCAUCUUCCAGUGGAAGGCAUGAAGGAAGAACUACAAAACGGCAUUACCGAAAAUCUGUAAGGAGUCGCUCUCGACAUGAAAAAACUUCACGCCCAAAAUUAAGAAUUUUGAAUGUUUCAAAUAAAGGAGACCGAGUGGUAGAAUGUCAAUUAGAGACUCAUAAUAGGAAAAUGGUUACAUUCAAAUUUGACCUAGAUGGUGACAACCCCGAGGAGAUAGCAACAAUUAUGGUGAACAAUGACUUUAUUCUAGCAA
rnacentral:sRNA from 1 species